rnacentral:rRNA from 1 species
UGGGGAAUAUUGCACAAUGGGCGCAAGCCUGAUGCAGCCAUGCCGCGUGUGUGAAGAAGGCCUUCGGGUUGUAAAGCACUUUCAGCGAGGAGGAAGGUGGUGAACUUAAUACGUUCAUCAAUUGACGUUACUCGCAGAAGAAGCACCGGCUAACUCCGUGCCAGCAGCCGCGGUAAUACGGAGGGUGCAAGCGUUAAUCGGAAUUACUGGGCGUAAAGCGCACGCAGGCGGUUUGUUAAGUCAGAUGUGAAAUCCCCGGGCUCAACCUGGGAACUGCAUUUGAAACUGGCAAGCUAGAGUCUCGUAGAGGGGGGUAGAAUUCCAGGUGUAGCGGUGAAAUGCGUAGAGAUCUGGAGGAAUACCGGUGGCGAAGGCGGCCCCCUGGACGAAGACUGACGCUCAGGUGCGAAAGCGUGGGGAGCAAACAGGAUUAGAUGCCCCUGGGUAGUCCACGCUGUAAAAGCGAUGUCGAUUUGGAGGGUUGNGCCCCUUUGAAGGCCGUGGCUUCCGGAGNUAAACGCGUUAAAUCGACCGCCUGGGGGAGUACGCCGCAAGGUU